ACGGCUGCUAAUACCGCAUAAUGUCUACGGACCAAAGGGGGCUUUUAGCUCCCACCUGAAGAGAGGCCCAAGUGAGAUUAGCUAGUUGGUGAGGUAAAGGCUCACCAAGGCGACGAUCUCUAGCUGUUCUGAGAGGAAGAUCAGCCACACUGGGACUGAAACACGGCCCACACUCCUACGGGAGGCAGCAGUGGGGAAUAUUGCACAAUGGGGGAAACCCUGAUGCAGCCAUGCCGCGUGUGUGAAGAAGGCCUUCGGGUUGUAAAGUACUUUCAGUUGUGAGGAAAGGUUGGUAGUUAAUACCUGCCAGCUGUGACGUUAACAAC
rnacentral:rRNA from 1 species